UUGUGUUGGACUCUUCCAACACGGCUGCUGUUGUAAGAGGCGGCGGUGGCGACCUCGUCCAGUGUUGCCAGAUUGGGCAGAUUUCCUUCCCAAUCUGGCAACACUGGCUGGAUCGCAAAACCUGGCCCAAUCUGGCAACCCUGUACGAGGAGCUAACACGCUAACACGCUCUGUACGGAGGCUACAGCGGCAGGAGGUGUUGACAGCGGCGGCCUCAGAGCCUCUCCCUUCCCGCUCCCGUUCCCCGCCGCGGAUCGUUUCUAGCGGGAGCUCCUUCGACUCACGAGCCCCGAAGCGGCACGAGUGGUUUCCCGCGUGGGGAUAUUUCCGUUGACGUUACCACACGUUAGCUUUAGCAUUAGCUUUAGCAUUAGCAUCCCCGGCCCAGGACUCUGGCGGCGCACGGAGUGAAGUUCGCAGCGGACCCCAAACUUCUGCCUCCCCGCCUGGCCGCUGUCUAUCCGCGGGGUCCGGGGCUCCUGUCGCCGGCCCUGUGGAUGAGAAGAGAGCCGCCCGCCCGGGACCCCUUUGAUGGGAGAAACCUGCUUCUUAACCUCCUGGGUCCACAGAAGAAGAUUCACCAUGAUGGACGGUGUCAGAGCUAAUGUCUGACCGUGUGUGGUUGCUUGUUUCCCCUGACAACCUGUCCUGGAUCAGAUUGAAUGCCCCCCCCCAGCGGUCAGAUGAGCAGGAUGCGCUGAACUCGAUCAUGCAGGACCUGGCGGAGCUUCACCGCUCAACCAGACGCCCGGUCCUGUCCCUGUCCGACCUGGGGAAGCCCAAAGCCUCCUCGCCCAAGAACCAGAACGACGUCAGAGUGAAGUUCGAGUUCAAAGGCGAGAGAAGGUAAAGGUUCGGACGGCACUAUGACCUGACCUCCUGACCCAAUGACAUCACCUCCUGACCCUAUGACCUCCUGACCCUAUGACAUCACCCUAUGACCUCCUGACCUAUGACCUCCCGACCCUAUGACCUCCUGACCCUAUGACCUCCUGACUAGGGAUCGAC